CCUACGGGAGGCAGCAGUGGGGAAUCUUGCGCAAUGGGCGAAAGCCUGACGCAGCCAUGCCGCGUGAAUGAUGAAGGUCUUAGGAUUGUAAAAUUCUUUCACCGGGGACGAUAAUGACGGUACCCGGAGAAGAAGCCCCGGCUAACUUCGUGCCAGCAGCCGCGGUAAUACGAAGGGGGCUAGCGUUGCUCGGAAUUACUGGGCGUAAAGGGAGCGUAGGCGGAUAGUUUAGUCAGAGGUGAAAGCCCAGGGCUCAACCUUGGAAUUGCCUUUGAUACUGGCUAUCUUGAGUAUGGGAGAGGUUAGCGGAACUCCGAGUGUAGAGGUGAAAUUCGUAGAUAUUCGGAAGAACACCAGUGGCGAAGGCGGCUAACUGGCCCAUUACUGACGCUGAGGCUCGAAAGCGUGGGGAGCAAACAGGAUUAGAUACCCUGGUAGUCCACGCCGUAAACGAUGAGUGCUAGUUGUCGGCAUGCAUGCAUGUCGGUGACGCAGCUAACGACAUUAAGUACACCUCCGCCGUCGGGGAGGUACGGUCGGCGAAGAAUUAAAACUUAAAACGGUAAAGUUAGACGGACGUGAGACGUGCCGAACGGACGACGACGAGGGAGGUAGG
rnacentral:rRNA from 1 species